CUUAGUACGGCGAGUGAAGCGGUAAAAGCUCAAAUUUGAAAUCUGGUACUUUCAGUGCCCGAGUUGUAAUUUGUAGAAUUUGUCUUUGAUUAGGUCCUUGUCUAUGUUCCUUGGAACAGGACGUCAUAGAGGGUGAGAAUCCCGUUUGGCGAGGAUACCUUUUCUCUGUAAGACUUUUUCGAAGAGUCGAGUUGUUUGGGAAUGCAGCUCAAAGUGGGUGGUAAAUUCCAUCUAAAGCUAAAUAUUGGCGAGAGACCGAUAGCGAACAAGUACAGUGAUGGAAAGAUGAAAAGAACUUUGAAAAGAGAGUGAAAAAGUACGUGAAAUUGUUGAAAGGGAAGGGCAUUUGAUCAGACAUGGUGUUUUUUGCAUGCACUCGCCUCUCGUGGGCUUGGGCCUCUCAAAAAUUUCACUGGGCCAACAUCAAUUCUGGCAGCAGGAUAAAUCAUUAAGAAUGUAGCUACUUCGGUAGUGUUAUAGCUUUUUGGAAUACUGUUAGCCGGGAUUGAGGACUGCGCUUCGGCAAGGAUGUUGGCAUAAUGGUUAAAUGCCGCCCGUCU
rnacentral:rRNA from 1 species